rnacentral:rRNA from 2 species
AAUAAGCGGAGGAAAAGAAACCAACAGGGAUUCCCUUAGUAACGGCGAGCGAAAAGGGAAGAGCCCAGCUUGUAAAUCUCCGGUUUUCCGGCGAAUUGUAGUCUGGAGUAGCAUCUCUUAAAGCUGUGUCCGCCCAAGCAUCUUGGAAUAGAUCGCCUUAGAGGGUGAGAGCCCCGUAGGCUGGCAUUUGCUUUUUCACGGAGUGCUUACGCAGAGUCGGGUUGUUUGGGAAUGCAGCCCCAAUUGGGUGGUAAACCCCAUCUAAGGCUAAAUACCUGUGGGAGACCGAUAGCAAAAAAGUACCUCGAGGGAACGAUGAAAAGACCGCUGGCAAGCGAGUGAAAGAGUGCAUGAAAUUGUAUAGUGGGAAGGGAUGGCUUGGCGUGCUGCCUACGGGUAUACACUGCUCUUCGAGCUCUUGAAUACACCGUAGGCUGGCUGGUGCCGGCACUUAUGCUUGCAAAUUCCCAACCUAAGGUGUUUGGUUCUACAAGCGCAAGUGCUGAGGAUGAUCGAAGCUCUGUUUUAAACUGCUCCGACAUAGCACCAGCUGAAGCCUGUCCAUCUAC